CCUACCGGCGGCAGCAGUGGGGAAUAUUGGACAAUGGGGGGAACCCUGAUCCAGCCAUGCCGCGUGUGUGAAGAAGGCCCUCGGGUUGUAAAGCACUUUCAGUGAGGAAGAACGCCUGGUGGUUAAUACCCAUCAGGAAAGACAUCACUCACAGAAGAAGCACCGGCUAACUCCGUGCCAGCAGCCGCGGUAAUACGGAGGGUGCGAGCGUUAAUCGGAAUUACUGGGCGUAAAGCGCGCGUAGGUGGCUUGAUAAGCCGGUUGUGAAAGCCCCGGGCUCAACCUGGGAACGGCAUCCGGAACUGUCAAGCUAGAGUGCAGGAGAGGAAGGUAGAAUUCCCGGUGUAGCGGUGAAAUGCGUAGAGAUCGGGAGGAAUACCAGUGGCGAAGGCGGCCUUCUGGACUGACACUGACACUGAGGUGCGAAAGCGUGGGUAGCAAACAGGAUUAGAUACCCCAGUAGUC
rnacentral:rRNA from 1 species